rnacentral:rRNA from 1 species
AAAUUGAAGAGUUUGAUCAUGGCUCAGAUUGAACGCUGGCGGCAGGCCUAACACAUGCAAGUCGAGCGGUAGCACAGAGAGCUUGCUCUCGGGUGACGAGCGGCGGACGGGUGAGUAAUGUCUGGGAAACUGCCUGAUGGAGGGGGAUAACUACUGGAAACGGUAGCUAAUACCGCAUAACGUCGCAAGACCAAAGUGGGGGACCUUCGGGCCUCAUGCCAUCAGAUGUGCCCAGAUGGGAUUAGCUAGUAGGUGGGGUAACGGCUCACCUAGGCGACGAUCCCUAGCUGGUCUGAGAGGAUGACCAGCCACACUGGAACUGAGACACGGUCCAGACUCCUACGGGAGGCAGCAGUGGGGAAUAUUGCACAAUGGGCGCAAGCCUGAUGCAGCCAUGCCGCGUGUGUGAAGAAGGCCUUCGGGUUGUAAAGCACUUUCAGCGGGGAGGAAGGCGUUAAGGUUAAUAACCUCAUCGAUUGACGUUACCCGCAGAAGAAGCACCGGCUAACUCCGUGCCAGCAGCCGCGGUAAUACGGAGGGUGCAAGCGUUAAUCGGAAUUACUGGGCGUAAAGCGCACGCAGGCGGUCUGUCAAGUCGGAUGUGAAAUCCCCGGGCUCAACCUGGGAACUGCAUUCGAAACUGGCAGGCUAGAGUCUUGUAGAGGGGGGUAGAAUUCCAGGUGUAGCGGUGAAAUGCGUAGAGAUCUGGAGGAAUACCGGUGGCGAAGGCGGCCCCCUGGACAAAGACUGACGCUCAGGUGCGAAAGCGUGGGGAGCAAACAGGAUUAGAUACCCUGGUAGUCCACGCCGUAAACGAUGUCGAUUUGGAGGUUGUGCCCUUGAGGCGUGGCUUCCGGAGCUAACGCGUUAAAUCGACCGCCUGGGGAGUACGGCCGCAAGGUUAAAACUCAAAUGAAUUGACGGGGGCCCGCACAAGCGGUGGAGCAUGUGGUUUAAUUCGAUGCAACGCGAAGAACCUUACCUGGUCUUGACAUCCACAGAACUUAGCAGAGAUGCUUUGGUGCCUUCGGGAACUGUGAGACAGGUGCUGCAUGGCUGUCGUCAGCUCGUGUUGUGAAAUGUUGGGUUAAGUCCCGCAACGAGCGCAACCCUUAUCCUUUGUUGCCAGCGGUCCGGCCGGGAACUCAAAGGAGACUGCCAGUGAUAAACUGGAGGAAGGUGGGGAUGACGUCAAGUCAUCAUGGCCCUUACGACCAGGGCUACACACGUGCUACAAUGGCAUAUACAAAGAGAAGCGACCUCGCGAGAGCAAGCGGACCUCAUAAAGUAUGUCGUAGUCCGGAUUGGAGUCUGCAACUCGACUCCAUGAAGUCGGAAUCGCUAGUAAUCGUAGAUCAGAAUGCUACGGUGAAUACGUUCCCGGGCCUUGUACACACCGCCCGUCACACCAUGGGAGUGGGUUGCAAAAGAAGUAGGUAGCUUAACCUUCGGGAGGGCGCUUACCACUUUGUGAUUCAUGACUGGGGUGAAGUCGUAACAAGGUAACCGUAGGGGAACCUGCGGUUGGAUCACCUCCUUACC